rnacentral:lncRNA from 1 species
CGCGGUCUUGUAUUCUCGAGUGCCUCCUUCGGAAAUGGUGCGGUCAUUAACUUCCGUCGUCUAUUUUCAAAACAAAGCUUAAUUUUAGAAAUUCGGGCGUUAAGUCGAGACCGGACGAAUUUCUGAUAUGCUCAUUAGAAAAUGACAAAUUAGUAUUCCUCUGCCCUAAUUAGCAUCUGAUCGAGUGUGUUCCAUAUUUGGCCGGAGGGUUGCAUGGACCAUUCGCACGGAAGUAUAAAACGCUCAGAGAUCCAGUCAUCAGUAUCACUCGCUUCAGUGCUUUCAGCCUCCAUAACCUCCUCAGCCAGCUACCACCAACCCCCAAAAUCAUCAUGAAAUUCCUCGUCAGCCUCCUCUUCGUGGCCGCCGUCGCCUACGCCGGAGAGACCGAGCUCGUCCGCGAGAAACGCGGCGUCUUCUUCGCCGACGCCCCCUACGCCUACGCCCCUGCCGCCUACCAUCACGCCUACGCCGCCCCCGCCUUCGCCCCGGCCGCCUACCACCAUGCCUACGCUGCCCCCGCCUUCGCCCCCGCAGCCUACGCCACCGCCUACGCCGCCCCCGCCCCAGUCGUAGCUGCCGCCCCGCCCCGGUCGCCGUAGCCGCCCCAGGUCAAGCAUCAUCCAGGCCAACCCUGGCUCCUACUCCGAGCUCACCCAUUUUUACUAGGGAGCUUCGCCUAUGAGCUAGUCAUACUCCUACCACUGGUGAUUCGAAAGGCCAAGCACGUCGAUGGCUUUUUAAGGUUUUGUUUUUGUUAGUGUGACGUUAAUACAAUGCUUUGUGCUUAACCAACUUGAAUGUUGUCUUUAUUUGUAACGAUCCCUUAAAGAGAAAACUAAGAGAAGCUGUAUGAAUUGUGGGCCGAGUGGCACUUUGUACCUCUACGAGUAGUCUCUGAUUGGUCAAACCGCCUAGUUCUAACUUUCUCGGCCCAGGGCCCUUGUGGAAAUUAACGCGGGGUAAGGGUGGAAAAAUCUCAUGAAAAAUAAAACCUUGAAAUUUCACGAGGAA